rnacentral:rRNA from 1 species
UACGUAGGGACCGAGCGUUGUCCGGAUUCAUUGGGCGUAAAGAGCUCGUAGGCGGCUGUUCAAGUCGAACGUGAAAACUCGGGGCUUAACUCCGGGCCUGCAGUGGGUACGGGCUGACUAGAGUGCGGUAGGGGAGACUGGAAUUCCUGGUGUAGCGGUGAAAUGCGCAGAUAUCAGGAGGAACACCGACGGCGAAGGCAGCUCGCUGGGACGGUACUGACGCUGAGGCGCGAAAGCGUGGGGAGCGAACAGG